UACAGAGGUCCCGAGCGUUUGUUCGGAUUCAUUGGGCGUAAAGGGUGCGUAGGCGGUCUGCUAAGUUUGAUGUGAAAUCCCGGGGCUCAACCUUGGAAUUGCAUUGAAUACUGGUGGACUAGAGUACUGGAGAGGAAACUGGAAUUUACGGUGUAGCAGUGAAAUGCGUAGAGAUCGUAAGGAAGACCAGUGGCGAAGGCGAGUUUCUGGACAGUAACUGACGCUGAGGCACGAAGGCCAGGGGGAGCAAACAGG
rnacentral:rRNA from 1 species